UGGGGUAUAGCCAAGCGGUAAGGCACCGGUUUUUGGUAUCGGCACUCCCAGGUUCGAAUCCUGGUACCCCAG
rfam:Oceanospirillum linum strain ATCC 11336 NODE_3_length_573653_cov_973.263, whole genome shotgun sequence.